rnacentral:rRNA from 1 species
ACUGGCAGGCUAGAGUCUUGUAGAGGGGGGUAGAAUUCCAGGUGUAGCGGUGAAAUGCGUAGAGAUCUGGAGGAAUACCGGUGGCGAAGGCGGCCCCCUGGACAAAGACUGACGCUCAGGUGCGAAAGCGUGGGGAGCAAACAGGAUUAGAUACCCUGGUAGUCCACGCCGUAAACGAUGUCGAUUUGGAGGUUGUGCCCUUGAGGCGUGGCUUCCGGAGCUAACGCGUUAAAUCGACCGCCUGGGGAGUACGGCCGCAAGGUUAAAACUCAAAUGAAUUGACGGGGGCCCGCACAAGCGGUGGAGCAUGUGGUUUAAUUCGAUGCAACGCGAAGAACCUUACCUGGUCUUGACAUCCACAGAACUUUCCAG